rnacentral:rRNA from 1 species
AACGUAGGUUCCGAGCGUUAUCCGGAUUUACUGGGCGUAAAGCGCGUUCAGGCGGUUUGGCAGGUCGGGCAUGAAAUCUCUCGGCUCAACCGGGAGAGGUUGUCCGAUACUGCUGGACUUGAGGGCAGUAGAGGGUGGUGGAAUUCCGGGUGUAGUGGUGAAAUGCGUAGAUAUCCGGAGGAACACCAGUGGCGAAAGCGGCCACCUGGACUGCACCUGACGCUGACACGCGAAAGCUAGGGGAGCGAACGGG